rnacentral:rRNA from 1 species
UACGGGGGGGGCAAGCGUUGUUCGGAAUUACUGGGCGUAAAGGGCGCGUAGGCGGCCUUCUAAGUCGGACGUGAAAUCCCUCGGCUCAACCGGGGAACUGCGUUCGAUACUGGAGGGCUUGAAUCCGGGAGAGGGAUGUGGAAUUCCAGGUGUAGCGGUGAAAUGCGUAGAUAUCUGGAGGAACACCGGUGGCGAAGGCGGCAUCCUGGACCGGCAUUGACGCUGAGGAGCGAAAGCCAGGGGAGCAAACGGG